UUUUCAACUGAGUGCUCUUCCUUCGGUGACCGCUUCUUUCGAACCAUCGACUACAUUUCAUUUACUCAUUUUUUCUAUGGUUGUUUUUCUUCUGCUUAUUUUUUUCGCGCUCAUUUUCUUAUUUUUUUCCCAAAGAACCUACGCAAAGUCAGAGUGAUAAAGACAUACCUGAAUAUAGCUCAUGAUGACAAAUGUGUUUGGAUUUUUAUGCACUCACCAUGUUUGGUAAAGCUUGACAUCAUACAUAGUACUUCGAGUAUGGUGCGACUUCU
rnacentral:lncRNA from 1 species